GAAAAGUACCUGGAGAUGAGCACCGACGAGACAGAUUUGAUCCAAUCCGAUCUCACCCAGAUGAAGGAUGCAUUCAAGAACCUCUACAAUCACUCCGUCAACCUCGCCGUCGUCGGUGGUGUUGGGUUCGGCACUGCCUUUCUCAGAUCCAUCGCCUCCUUCGCCGCCAUGUAUGUCAAAUUGUCAAUCUAAUUAGAAUUUAUAUAUAUAUACUCUUCUCAGAUCUUUAUUCUCUUUAACUCAAUCGGAUAAUCUUUCGUGUAGAUACCUUCUGAUUUUGGACCGGACGAACUGGAGGACCAACAUGCUCACUGGACUUCUGAUCCCGUAUAUCUUCCUAAGUCUGCCGGAGAUAAUUUUCUCGUUCCUCAGAGGAGAGGUCGGGAUGUGGAUCGCCUUCAUCGCGGUGGUGAUGCGUCUUUUCUUUUCCAAAAGGAUACCGGAGUGGGCAGAGAUGCCCGGCGCGUUGAUUCUUUUGCUGGUGGUUUCGCCGAGCUUAUUUGCUGACACAAUCAGAGGUAAUUUCAUCGGACAGUUGGUGUGUCUCUUCGUCGGUUGCUACCUUCUUCAAGAACAUAUCCGUGCGUCCGGCGGGUUCCGGAACUCGUUCACUCAGAAAAAUGGAGUGUCGAACUCCGUCGGGAUCAUUCUGCUCCUGGUCUACCCAGUCUGGGCUCUGGUUCUCGGAUUCAUCUGAUCAAUCUCCGCCGUCCGUUUGUUGUGCUGAAUAAAGAAAUUCCGAAUCUAUCGAAAUAUCAAAUAUGUGCGAUUUAAUCAU
rnacentral:lncRNA from 1 species